rnacentral:sRNA from 1 species
ACCCGGGGCAACAGCUGAGCCGUCUGGGAAGGGAUGCAUCUUUUCUUCUGUAUGCUUGAGUCAAGAACUCUUAAGUCAUCUUGGUAAUACCGGGUUGGAUGCUUAAAGCUGCAGCAAAAAGACCAGAACUUUCAGGUAAAAUUGAAAAUUGUUAAUAUCCAGCCAGUCAACAAUACAGAUGCAAACCUACCUUCUCGACUUAAUUUCUGCUUCCUUAGUACUUACACGCCAGCCAAAAUGAACUACUCUUGUUUCUUUGCUGUUAAUUACUGAAAUCUGUUGUAGCAGUCACCUUUU